GACGAACGCUGGCGGCGUGCCUAAUACAUGCAAGUAGAACGCUGACGGAGGAGCUUGCUCUUCUGGAUGAGUUGCGAACGGGUGAGUAACGCGUAGGUAACCUGCCUGGUAGCGGGGGAUAACUAUUGGAAACGAUAGCUAAUACCGCAUAACAGUAGAUGUUGCAUGACAUUUGCUUAAAAGGUGCAAUUGCACCACUACCAGAUGGACCUGCGUUGUAUUAGCUAGUUGGUGGGGUAACGGCUCACCAAGGCGACGAUACAUAGCCGACCGGAGAGGGGGGUCCGCCACAACGGGAAUGGGGCAACGCCCAGGCUUCCUCGGGGAGCAGCAGUAGGGAAUCUUUGGCAAUGGACGGAAGUCUGACCGAACAACGCCGCGGGAGUGAAUAAGGUUUUCGGAGCGUAAAGCUCUGUUGGAAGAGAAGAACGAGUGUGAGUGUGGAAAGUUCACACUGUGACGGUAUCGUACCAGAAAGGGACGGCUAACUACGUG
rnacentral:rRNA from 1 species